CUACGGAUCGUCGCCUGGGGUGGGGCCUUACCCCCAACUAUCGUAAUCCGACGGUCGGGCUCAUCUAUCUGGCGGCGAAGGCCCGGAAGGUCCUCCGGCUUUCACCCGNUAGGGUCGGUAUGCUGGUAUUAGUCCCGGGUUUCCCGAGGGGGAUCCCCCACAAAUAGGCAGAUUCCGACGCUAUCCUCACCCGUCCGCCACUCGCCACCCAGAGAGCAAGCUCUCCUGUGCUGCCGUUCGACUUGCAUGUGUUAGGCCUGCCGCCAGCGUUCACUCUGAGCCAUGAUCA
rnacentral:rRNA from 1 species